rnacentral:misc_RNA from 1 species
CAUGAAUCGAUUGCAAAGCAAGGGCAAAAGCCAUAGCCCCUCGAAGUCCACUGUACCAAAGUGCUUUCUGAUGUUUUAAAGGUAUAUGACGAUGUGCAGGUCGAACCAAAUUGACCAAAUAUGCACAAGAAAAGACAUUUGCUGCCCUUGCAACUCCAAUGAAUAAAAUUGAGAAAAAGAUAAAUCCAACAUGGGACCAGCUAUGUUGUUCCAUUGCAAUAUCAAACCCCAUGUAUAUAAAUACAAAUGUUUCAGCUAGUGAUGAUAUUAGGUGAAAAAAUGCAGAAACAAAUCGCUGAGAGUUUUCUGACAAAUUUGAAUAGGAAUAGUGCUUCAUGNNCUAUUCCAGUGAACAAUAUCGACACGAUACCAGAGAGGCCAAGACCUUCAGCAAGCAUGUAUGAGAAAUAUGGAAAAAGAACAAAAAGGCAACACUCCAAGUUUUGAA